rnacentral:rRNA from 1 species
UACGGAGGAUCCAAGCGUUAUCCGGAUUUAUUGGGUUUAAAGGGUGCGUAGGCGGGCCUUUAAGUCAGCGGUGAAAGUUCGUGGCUCAACCACGGAAUUGCCGUUGAUACUACUGGCCUUGAGUGUGGACGAGGUGUGCGGAAUUCGUGGUGUAGCGGUGAAAUGCUUAGAUAUCACGAAGAACACCGAUUGCGUAGGCAGCUCACCAGACCACAACUGACGCUGAGGCACGAAGGUGCGGGGAUCAAACAGG